AAACAAAGUCGCCUGCGCAGGAAUUUGAUCGUUUGAGCUGGUUUUAAGCUCGUUUCAAUUAACUUGGUAAACUGGGGGCGAUAAGCUGCCCCUGGCUGGAGUCACCUUCACCACUAGGAGUGGAUGCGGGACGCACGAAGUCCGGCAGAGCUUCAGCUGUACCCCGAUAACCGUACGGCGACGAGAGGCUGGCAAUGCACGCUGUCAUUAUCUUUAGCACUUUAGGUAUAUAUUUGGCUUUCGUGGCAGAAAUGUUCCCGUGGCUGUUGUAAGCGAGGCAUCACCUGAGUAACAGAUUUUCUGACGUUUCCUCUUGCUUCUCGAAUUCGGAGCGCGAGGUGUGAGCGCGCUGGGCUCCGGGAGGCGCUGGGAAGGCUGAGCGAGGCACGGGAGAGUCGCAGCAGCUAUCAGGAGGUCUCACCGGCACCGGGAGCUUUUGUCUUCCCCGCUUGCAGGCAAUUCCGGCCCCGCAGCCGCUUAACCCUUCAGCACUGCGGACGCGAUCGUGCUCGCACCACGAUGGGAGCAGAAACCCAGCAGCUCCUGCUGCCACCGGGAUGUCCGUGGCAGAGGGAGGCAGGUGCGGCCAUUCAAGCUGAAGUGGUGCAGCCAAGUUUAUAAAGUCACUAAGAGGAGCUGCUGAGCCUUGAGCCACCCAGAUCUUUGUGCCCGUGAAGCCGAAGAGUCCUUCCCUGUAAGUGCACCCGAGGCGCUGGAGGUGAAGGAGCUGCUCGCUUCAGCCGUGUGCCGACGAUAAUAAGCGGUGGCCAAGCUGGAGGAACGAGCCUGGGAGAAGGAGCUCCCGCCGUCAACGGCAGCAAUGAAGGGAGCUCUCGAGCCGGGGAGAACAGCCGUCCCCUUAGGAUUCCUAUCACCACAGGAUAACAUUUCCAGGCUUUGUCCAGCGAGAGAUGUCACUUCAUUUACAGGGAUCCCCACAAUGUUGAGAUUUAGCCGUUUGAAAAUUGUGCAUCCUAUUACCCGAGAUUGUGUAUGCACAAAUGACCUACGUUAUGGGCCUCUGGGGUGAUGUGAAUGGAGACAAGAGAUCUGCAUGUUAGAUUAAAACCCCCUUGCUGGAAAAUUGGUGCCCUGUAGAUUCAAAUACAAUUAGCCUCGAUCUGAACCGC